UACGUAGGGUGCGAGCGUUAAUCGGAAUUACUGGGCGUAAAGCGCGCGCAGGCGGUUUUCCAAGUCAGUGGUGAAAGCCCGGAGCUCAACUCCGUAACUGCCAUUGAAACUGUUAAACUCGAGGACGAGAGAGGUGAGUGGAAUUCCCAGUGUAGAGGUGAAAUUCGUAGAUAUUGGGAAGAACACCAGUGGCGAAGGCGGCUCACUGGCUCGUAUCUGACGCUCAGGCGCGAUAGCGUGGGGAUCAAACAGG
rnacentral:rRNA from 1 species